AACGAACGCUGGCGGCAUGCCUAACACAUGCAAGUCGAACGAACCCUUCGGGGUUAGUGGCGCACGGGUGCGUAACGCGUGGGAAUCUGCCCUUAGGUUCGGAAUAACUCAGAGAAAUUUGAGCUAAUACCGGAUGAUGACGUAAGUCCAAAGAUUUAUCGCCUGAGGAUGAGCCCGCGUAGGAUUAGCUAGUUGGUGUGGUAAAGGCGCACCAAGGCGACGAUCCUUAGCUGGUCUGAGAGGAUGAUCAGCCACACUGGGACUGAGACACGGCCCAGACUCCUACGGGAGGCAGCAGUGGGGAAUAUUGGACAAUGGGCGCAAGCCUGAUCCAGCCAUGCCGCGUGAGUGAUGAAGGCCUUCGGGUUGUAAAGCUCUUUUGUCCGGGAAGAUAAUGACUGUACCGGAAGAAUAAGCCCCGGCAAACUUCGUGCCAGCCGCCGCAGUAA
rnacentral:rRNA from 1 species